rnacentral:misc_RNA from 1 species
AGUCGCAGCCUCGUACACCCAUCCCAACUCGAUUUUCAGCUAACGGUGCCGCCCAGCGGCACCGUCGCUGUUUGACAACGGAAGUGUGGUAGAUCGUGGGAAACGAAUCUCAUGCGAGAAGACAGUUCGCAAGAUUGUCACUCGACGUAAGAUCGCGCGUGCUCUGCUUGAACUAACAAUUGAUGUAGUCAAGCAAGGGAAGGCAUGUGGGGGAUACCUAGGCACACAGAGAAUAAGG